GUAAUAGCUCACUGGUCGAGUCGGCCUGCGCGGAAGAUGUAACGGGGCUAAACCAUGCACCGAAGCUGCGGCAGCGACGCUUAUGCGUUGUUGGGUAGGGGAGCGUUCUGUAAGCCUGUGAAGGUGUACUGUGAGGUACGCUGGAGGUAUCAGAAGUGCGAAUGCUGACAUAAGUAACGAUAAAGCGGGUGAAAAGCCCGCUCGCCGGAAGACCAAGGGUUCCUGUCCAACGUUAAUCGGGGCAGGGUGAGUCGACCCCUAAGGCG
rnacentral:rRNA from 1 species